ACAAUGGAGAGUUUGAUCCUGGCUCAGGAUGAACGCUAGCGGCAGGCCUAAUACAUGCAAGUCGUACGGGAUU
rnacentral:rRNA from 1 species